rnacentral:sRNA from 1 species
GAAUGCACGGGUGAGUGCAGGCCUGCGUGGGGGGUAGCAGCGGGAUCCCCCGACUCUGUGACGUCGCGGAGCCCUCCCGUGAUGCCGUGGGGACCGUCCCUCAGGUUGGCAUGACGCGGAGGAUGCUGGCGCCCCGCUGGUGUACGCCCUGCUGCUGCGGCGCUGUCGCCAGGGCCACUGCGAGGAGUUCUGUGUCUACAAGGGCAGCCUCUCCGGCUACGGAGCUGUGCUGCCCCCGGGUUUCAGGCCACACUUCGAGGUGGGCCUGGCCGUGGUGGUGCAGGACCAGCUGGGAGCCGCUGUGGUCGCCCUCAACAGGUGAGCCAGGCCGUGGGAGGGCGCCCCCGAGACUGCCACCUGCUCACCACCCCCCUCUGCUCGUAGGUCUCUGGCCAUCACCCUCCCAGAGCCUAACGGCAGUGCAACGGGGCUCACAGUCUGGCUGCACGGGCUCACCGCUAGUGUGCUCCCGGGGCUGCUGCGGCAGGCCGAUCCCCAGCACGUCAUCGAGUACUCGCUGGCCCUGGUCACCGUGCUGAACGAGUACGAGCAGGCCCUGGACGUGGCGGCAGAGCCCAAGCACGAGCGGCAGCGCCGAGCCCAGAUACGCAAGAACAUCACGGAGACUCUGGUGUCCCUGC